GGCUUGCUGGUCUAGUGGUAUGAUUCUCGCUUUGGGUGCGAGAGAUCACGGGUUCGAUUCCCGUGCAAGCCC
rnacentral:tRNA from 1 species